rnacentral:rRNA from 1 species
AAGAUUAAGCCAUGCAUGUCUAAGUAUAAACAAAUCUAUACUGUGAAACUGCGAAUGGCUCAUUAAAUCAGUUAUAGUUUAUUUGAUAAUACCUUACUACUCGGAUAACCGUAGUAAUUCUAGAGCUAAUACAUGCACUGAAAUCCCGACUUCUGGAAGGGAUGUAUUUAUUAGAAUAAAAACCAACCCGGGCAACCGGUUCUUUGGUCAUUCAUGAUAACUUUUCGAAUCGCAU